rnacentral:rRNA from 1 species
UUGCGGUUAAAAAGCUCGUAGUUGGAUUUCUGUUGAGGUCGGGCGGUGUGCACCUCGUGCAUUAUUUGCUUCGGUCUCGGCAUCCUCUUGGGGAACGUCUCAGGACUUUAUUGGACUGGGCGAGAUUCAAGACUUUUACUUUGAGGAAAUUAGAGUGUUCACGGCAGGCAAGUGCUUUGAAUACAUUAGCAUGGAAUAAUAAUAUAGGACCUUCGUUCUAUUUUGUUGGUUUCUAGAACUUAGGUAAUGAUUAAUAGGGACAAUUGGGGGCAUUCGUAUUAACGCGUCAGAGGUGGAAUUCUUGGAUUGCGUUACGACGAACUACUGCGAAAGCAUUUGCCAAAGAUGUUUUCAUUGAUCAAGAACGAAAGUAUGGGGAUCGAAGACGCUUAGAUACCGUCGUAGUCUAUACCAUAAACUAUGCCAACUAGAGAUCGGUGGGGUUAUCCUAUGUGGCUCCAUCGGCAUCUUAUGAGAAAUCAAAGUUUUUGGGUUCCGGAGGGAGUAUGGUCGCAAGGCUGAAACUUAAAGGAAUUGACGGAAGGGCACCACCA